rnacentral:rRNA from 1 species
GGAACCUUCCAAUGGAACGAAGUCUGAUGGAGCAACGCCGCGUGAGUGAAGAAGGGUUUCGGCUCGUAAAGCUCUGUUGGUAGUGAAGAAAGAUAGAGGUAGUAACUGGCCUUUAUUUGACGGUAAUUACUUAGAAAGUCACGGCUAACUACGUGCCAGCAGCCGCGGUAAUACGUAGGUGGCAAGCGUUGUCCGGAUUUAUUGGGCGUAAAGCGAGUGCAGGCGGUUCAAUAAGUCUGAUGUGAAAGCCUUCGGCUCAACCGGAGAAUUGCAUCAGAAACUGUUGAACUUGAGUGCAGAAGAGGAGAGUGGAACUCCAUGUGUAGCGGUGGAAUGCGUAGAUAUAUGGAAGAACACCAGUGGCGAAGGCGGCUCUCUGGUCUGCAACUGACGCUGAGGCUCGAAAGCAUGGGUAGCGAACAGGAUUAGAUACCCUGGUAGUCCAUGCCGUAAACGAUGUUAACUAGUUGUUGGGAAGUAAAAUUCUCAGUAACGCAGCCAACGCGAGAAGUUAACCGCCUGGGAAGUACGGUCGCAAGACUAAAACUCAAAGGAAUUGACGGGGACCCGCACAAGCGGUGGAUGAUGUGGAUUAAUUCGAUGCAACGCGAAAAACCUUACCUACCCUUGACAUGUCAGGAAGCUCUUGUAAUGAGAGCGUGCCCGCAAGGGAGCCUGAACACAGGUGCUGUAUGGCUGUCGUCAGCUCGUGUCGUGAGAUGUUGGGGUUAGUCCCCGCACGAGCGCAACCCUUGUCACUAAUUGCUACAAA